AGCAGCCGCGGUAAUUCCAGCUCCAAUAGCGUAUAUUAAAGUUGUUGCAGUUAAAAAGCUCGUAGUUGAACUUCGGGGUUUACUCAUUGGUCAGGCUUAAUUGUCUGUACUGGUGAGAUAAAUCUCUACCUUCUGAGGAACUUUCAUGCCAUUUAUUUGGUGUGAUUGGAAAUCAGGACUGUUACUUUGAAAAAAUUAGAGUGUUUAAAGCAGGCUAACGUCUGAAUACAUUAGCAUGGAAUAAUGAAAUAGGACGGAUUGAUUCUAUUUCGUUGGUUUCUAGGGUCACCGUAAUGAUUAAUAGGGAUAGUUGGGGGCAUUAGUAUUCAAUUGUCAGAGGUGAAAUUCUUGGAUUUAUUGAAGACUAACUACUGCGAAAGCAUUUGCCAAGGAUGUUUUCAUUAAUCAAGAACGAAAGUUAGGGGAUCGAAGACGAUCAGAUACCGUCGUAGUCUUAACCAUAAACUAUGCCGACUAGGGAUCGGACGAAGUUAAUUAAUAAUGACGCGUUCGGCACCUU
rnacentral:misc_RNA from 1 species